UACAGAGGUCUCAAGCGUUGUUCGGAUUCAUUGGGCGUAAAGGGUGCGUAGGCGGCGCGGUAAGUCGGGUGUGAAAUCUCGGAGCUUAACUCCGAAACUGCAUUCGAUACUGCCGUGCUUGAGGACUGGAGAGGAGACUGGAAUUUACGGUGUAGCGGUGAAAUGCGUAGAUAUCGUAAGGAAAGACCAGUGGCGAAGGCGGGGUCUCUGGACAGUUUCCUGACGCUGAGGCACGAAGGUCAGGGGGAGCAAAACGGGG
rnacentral:rRNA from 1 species